AAAUUAAAGGGCUGCAGUAAUUUGACUGUACAAAGGUAGCAUAAUCAUUAGUCAUUUAAUUGAUGACUUGUAUGAAAGAUUGGAUGAAAUAUAAACUGUCUCUUAAUUAUAUAAUAGAAUUUAAUUUUUUAAUUAAAAAGUUAAAAUAAUAUAAAAAGACGAGAAGACCCUAUAGAGUUUUAUAAUUUUUUUAUUUAAAAUUUUUUAAUUUAUAUAAAAUUAAGAUUAAAUAAAUUAUUUUGUUGGGGUGACAAAAAAAUAAAUAGAACUUUUUUUUUAUAAUAAAACAUAUAUAAGUGAAUAUUUGAUCCAAUAAUAUUGAUUAUAAGAAAAAAUUACCUUAGGGAUAACAGCGUAAUUUUUUUUUUUAGUUCAUAUAAAAAAAAGAGUUUGCGACCUCGAUGUUGGAUUAAGAUAAAAUUUAAAUGCAGAAG
rnacentral:rRNA from 1 species